rnacentral:pre_miRNA from 1 species
AGAGGUAUCUUUAUUACGCAGUGACGUCAGCGCCUCUUGUCAUACACCACAGAGGUGAUGACGUCACUGAUGACAUGAAGAUGCUACC